rnacentral:rRNA from 1 species
AGGACGUGCUAAUCUGCGAUAAGCGUCGGUAAGGUGAUAUGAACCGUUAUAACCGGCGAUUUCCGAAUGGGGAAACCCAGUGUGUUUCGACACACUAUCAUUAACUGAAUCCAUAGGUUAAUGAGGCGAACCGGGGGAACUGAAACAUCUAAGUACCCCGAGGAAAAGAAAUCAACCGAGAUUCCCCCAGUAGCGGCGAGCGAACGGGGAGCAGCCCAGAGCCUGAAUCAGUGUGUGUGUUAGUGGAAGCGUCUGGAAAGGCGCGCGAUACAGGGUGACAGCCCCGUACACAAAAAUGCACAUACUGUGAGCUCGAUGAGUAGGGCGGGACACGUGGUAUCCUGUCUGAAUAUGGGGGGACCAUCCUCCAAGGCUAAAUACUCCUGACUGACCGAUAGUGAACCAGUACCGUGAGGGAAAGGCGAAAAGAACCCCGGCGAGGGGAGUGAAAAAGAACCUGAAACCGUGUACGUACAAGCAGUGGGAGCCUCUUUUAUGGGGUGACUGCGUACCUUUUGUAUAAUGGGUCAGCGACUUAUAUUCUGUAGCAAGGUUAACCGAAUAGGGGAGCCGAAGGGAAACCGAGUCUUAACUGGGCGUUAAGUUGCAGGGUAUAGACCCGAAACCCGGUGAUCUAGCCAUGGGCAGGUUGAAGGUUGGGUAACACUAACUGGAGGACCGAACCGACUAAUGUUGAAAAAUUAGCGGAUGACUUGUGGCUGGGGGUGAAAGGCCAAUCAAACCGGGAGAUAGCUGGUUCUCCCCGAAAGCUAUUUAGGUAGCGCCUCGUGAAUUCAUCUCCGGGGGUAGAGCACUGUUUCGGCAAGGGGGUCAUCCCGACUUACCAACCCGAUGCAAACUGCGAAUACCGGAGAAUGUUAUCACGGGAGACACACGGCGGGUGCUAACGUCCGUCGUGAAGAGGGAAACAACCCAGACCGCCAGCUAAGGUCCCAAAGUCAUGGUUAAGUGGGAAACGAUGUGGGAAGGCCCAGACAGCCAGGAUGUUGGCUUAGAAGCAGCCAUCAUUUAAAGAAAGCGUAAUAGCUCACUGGUCGAGUCGGCCUGCGCGGAAGAUGUAACGGGGCUAAACCAUGCACCGAAGCUGCGGCAGCGACGCUUAUGCGUUGUUGGGUAGGGGAGCGUUCUGUAAGCCUGCGAAGGUGUGCUGUGAGGCAUGCUGGAGGUAUCAGAAGUGCGAAUGCUGACAUAAGUAACGAUAAAGCGGGUGAAAAGCCCGCUCGCCGGAAGACCAAGGGUUCCUGUCCAACGUUAAUCGGGGCAGGGUGAGUCGACCCCUAAGGCGAGGCCGAAAGGCGUAGUCGAUGGGAAACAGGUUAAUAUUCCUGUACUUGGUGUUACUGCGAAGGGGGGACGGAGAAGGCUAUGUUGGCCGGGCGACGGUUGUCCCGGUUUAAGCGUGUAGGCUGGUUUUCCAGGCAAAUCCGGAAAAUCAAGGCUGAGGCGUGAUGACGAGGCACUACGGUGCUGAAGCAACAAAUGCCCUGCUUCCAGGAAAAGCCUCUAAGCAUCAGGUAACAUCAAAUCGUACCCCAAACCGACACAGGUGGUCAGGUAGAGAAUACCAAGGCGCUUGAGAGAACUCGGGUGAAGGAACUAGGCAAAAUGGUGCCGUAACUUCGGGAGAAGGCACGCUGAUAUGUAGGUGAAGCGACUUGCUCGUGGAGCUGAAAUCAGUCGAAGAUACCAGCUGGCUGCAACUGUUUAUUAAAAACACAGCACUGUGCAAACACGAAAGUGGACGUAUACGGUGUGACGCCUGCCCGGUGCCGGAAGGUUAAUUGAUGGGGUUAGCGGUAACGCGAAGCUCUUGAUCGAAGCCCCGGUAAACGGCGGCCGUAACUAUAACGGUCCUAAGGUAGCGAAAUUCCUUGUCGGGUAAGUUCCGACCUGCACGAAUGGCGUAAUGAUGGCCAGGCUGUCUCCACCCGAGACUCAGUGAAAUUGAACUCGCUGUGAAGAUGCAGUGUACCCGCGGCAAGACGGAAAGACCCCGUGAACCUUUACUAUAGCUUGACACUGAACAUUGAGCCUUGAUGUGUAGGAUAGGUGGGAGGCUUUGAAGUGUGGACGCCAGUCUGCAUGGAGCCGGCCUUGAAAUACCACCCUUUAAUGUUUGAUGUUCUAACGUUGGCCCCUGAUCGGGGUUGCGGACAGUGUCUGGUGGGUAGUUUGACUGGGGCGGUCUCCUCCUAAAGAGUAACGGAGGAGCACGAAGGUUGGCUAAUCCUGGUCGGACAUCAGGAGGUUAGUGCAAUGGCAUAAGCCAGCUUGACUGCGAGCGUGACGGCGCGAGCAGGUGCGAAAGCAGGUCAUAGUGAUCCGGUGGUUCUGAAUGGAAGGGCCAUCGCUCAACGGAUAAAAGGUACUCCGGGGAUAACAGGCUGAUACCGCCCAAGAGUUCAUAUCGACGGCGGUGUUUGGCACCUCGAUGUCGGCUCAUCACAUCCUGGGGCUGAAGUAGGUCCCAAGGGUAUGGCUGUUCGCCAUUUAAAGUGGUACGCGAGCUGGGUUUAGAACGUCGUGAGACAGUUCGGUCCCUAUCUGCCGUGGGCGCUGGAGAACUGAGGGGGGCUGCUCCUAGUACGAGAGGACCGGAGUGGACGCAUCACUGGUGUUCGGGUUGUCAUGCCAAUGGCACUGCCCGGUAGCUAAAUGCGGAAGAGAUAAGUGCUGAAAGCAUCUAAGCACGAAACUUGCC